rnacentral:rRNA from 1 species
UACGUAGGGGGCAAGCGUUGUUCGGAAUUACUGGGCGUAAAGGGCUCGUAGGCGGCCAACUAAGUCGGAUGUGAAAUCCCCAGGCUUAACCUGGGAAUUGCAUCCGAUACUGGAUGGCUUGAAUCCGGGAGAGGGAUGCGGAAUUCCAGGUGUAGCGGUGAAAUGCGUAGAUAUCUGGAGGAACACCGGUGGCGAAGGCGGCAUCCUGGACCGGCAUUGACGCUGAGGAGCGAAAGCCAGGGGAGCAAACGGG